rnacentral:rRNA from 1 species
AUGAUCUGGCAUGUACAUAAUGAAAACUUAAUUCUCGAUUCUACGAGAAUUUUUAUGAAAGCGUUUCAUUUGCUUCUCUUCAAUGGAAGUUUCAUUUUCCCAGAAUGUAUCCUAAUUUUUGGCCUAAUUCUUAUUCUAAUGAUCGAUUCAACAUCUGAUCAAAAAGGUAGACCUUGGUUCUAUUUCAUCUCUUCAACAUGUUUAGUAAUAAGCAUAACGGCCCUAUUG